CCUACGGGAGGCAGCAGUGGGGAAUAUUGGGCAAUGGAGGCAACUCUGACCCAGCAACGCCGCGUGAAUGAUGAAGGUCUUCGGAUUGUAAAGUUCUGUGGUGGGGGAUGAAAACAAUGACGGUAUCCCACUUGCACGCCACGGCUAACUACGUGACAGCAGCCGCGGUACUACGUAGGUGGCAAGCGUUACCCGGCAUGACUGGGCGUAAAGGGUGCGUAGGUGGGUUAGUAAGUUGGCGGUGAAAUACCGGGGCUCAACCUCGGCGCUACCGCGAAAACUAUUAGACUAGAGUGAAGGAGAGGUAAGUGGAAUUCCUGGUGUAGCGGUGGAAUGCGUAGAUAUUAGGAGGAACAUCAGGGGCGAAGGCGACUUACUGGACUGUAACUGACGCUGAGGCACGAAAGCGUGGGGAGCAAACAGGAUUAGAUACCCGGGUAGUC
rnacentral:rRNA from 1 species